UUUCCUUCACUUCCCUCCUUGAAAGAAACCUAACAGACUCUCACAAUCAACCCAGGAGUGAAUAUAGCAAAUGAAAGGGUCGAAACAAUUAUAGAUGAAACUAAUUCGAUGAGGGAGAGAAAGAGAAGAAUACAGAGAGGGGGGAGAAGGCCCAAGGCUCUCCGGCCACAGCGACAUCGAUGACGACGGCGGAUUGAAGCUCGGAUUUCCGAUGGCAGCGCCCGAUACUUGGAUGGUGGUCGAUCAUCCGAAAAGACUGGUCGUUGGGCUGAUCUGGUGGUGGUUAAAGAUCAGUUUUUGUCCGUGGUUGCCAGAUUUCAUUCGGGAACCCUUGGUGGCGGUGUCGCUGGCACAUUUUUGAACUGUGAUUUUGUGGAGGUUUGAUCUGUCGGUGUUGAUUCUAUAUUGAUUUUGAAGUAUUAUAGAGUACACAUUUGAAGAAUUAGGGUUCUUACAUAGUGUUUUUUAGGCCAUAAUGCUGAAUCUUCCAACAUCUGACAUGAUAGAAUCAUGCUCCAUAGCUGGUCCUGGCUUUAUAAACGUUAAGUUAUCAACACAAUGGAUAGCCAAGAGAAUCCAGAAUAUGCUAUAACAGAUGGCAUUGACACAUGGGCACCAGAGCUCUCUGUCAAAAGGGCGAUAGUUGACUUUUCAUCACCCAACAUUACAAAGGAAAUGCAUGUAGGUCAUUUGAGGUCAACUAUCAUUGGAGACACGAUAGCCCGUAUGCUUGAGUAUUCUAAAGUUGAUGUGCUUCGCAGAAACCAUGUUGGGGAUUGGGGCACUCAGUUUGGAAUGUUGAUUGAGUUUCUCUUUGAGAAGUUCCAGAUGGGGAGGUUACUGAUCAGGAUAUUGGAGAACUAGAGGUACCCAUGUCAAGCUCCCUGGUCAUUUCUUGAAAGAACCAAAUACGAAUUUCACACCUCUUACAAUAAGAUGAUACGUUCGUAUGAACUAGGAGGCGUUUACAAUAAGACGAUACGGCUUUGUGAGGCUUCAAAGAGUAUUAACAAGUAAAAAUGUGAAGCGACUAAUGGUGACUGCCAUGAAGCAGAUGCAGCUGUUGGUUAGAGUCCAAACACAAAUUCAGUCACGUAGAAUCCAUAUGUCAAAGAAUCAAGCACAAGAACAAUCAUCAUAAGAAGUAAGAUAUAAUUUCUUGGCCUUUUUUCUAAAAUACAUGGCUUUUUGUUUUAACAUAAGAUAUAUUCGCAGUCAAAUUUCUAACAAAAACAGCCAUUUAAUAAGCACCAAAGAGAUUACAAACUAGAAAAAAGACGCAAAAUUGUCGAUCACAUUAAUUAUUUAUUAAAAGUCUUUAAGAGAUUGACAAUUGGUUUGUAGGUCAAUCUAACCCAAUAAUCCAACUAUAACAACCAGUUCAGAAUGGCCAUUUUUAACCCGAAUACAUGUUGAGCCAUCAUUACCCAGCCCAUUCACUCUACCAUCAUGCAAAAGCAUACCAUAGUAACUCAUAUUUAUUAAUAAUUUAUUCUUUUUUUGUUCAUACAUUUGAAUUUGAAUGUAGAAUAUAUUUUCAUGCACGCGUAUCAUGAAAAAUCAUAUUCGUAGUGGUGGUAUUUCAACCAGGCAUGGUUUAAAAAAGCACGCCUGAGGCGUGAGGCGCUAAAGGCGUUUUAAAGAACGCUUUUUUGGACUGAGGCACUCUUCUACAAGGAGCGCUAUGAACCCGUGCUUCAUGCUUGAGGCGCUAAGAAAGCGAGGCGGCGCUUCAGUCAAAAUCAGGUUUGAUUCGGGCCCAACAUUUUUGAGAUGGCGCUUCAUGUAAUUAGCAAAGCUAUGAAAUUGUGAGAUGAGAUGUUCACAGCUUUCAAUCCUUUGUUUUUGGAUCAGUACCUUACGUUGAGAACGAGAAACCUUACUUUUUUAAAGUACGAAGUUGGCAGAAAAGAUUUGGAGAGUUUUCUACUUUUUAGACCGAAGAAAGGAGUAAGCUAAGACUAUGGGGUGUGGAGGGACUUGGGUUGGGGGCAUUGCUCGACACAUGGCGAGGGUGGGAUCCACAAGCUAAUACUAAAAAACUAGGGGUGUAGUGGAGCGUCGCUUAGCUGGGCGUGGCCAGCCAUGUGGAAUUUUUUAAAAAAAACUACAAACAAAAUUAAAAAAACCUACAUUGAACCAGCCAACCACAGCCUGGCAUGUCCCCCCCCCCCCCCCCCCAGGCAGAAUCUCCACGCCAAGCGGCCAACGCUGAUCAAAACGCCUACCCAGGGUGGAGCCCCCGGCUUUAAACGGCCAAAACGCCCAAAACCCACGCCCACACCCAACAGUCAAUGUGAAACAUAAAACACUUUUAUGCAGAUUUUUCUGCACUGUACAGUGCACACUGCACAACUCUACAACAUUGACUCUUUGCUGCAAGUAAUACAGAUUUAAAACAACAAGUUUAGUUUAUUCAAGGUUCUAAAAAUUUAAUUUAAAAUAUAAUAGUUUAUCAAUAUUUUGGUUCUUUGAGGUUUAUUAGUUCUAUAUAUAGCUCAUUUUUGGUUCUAUAAAAACAUAAAGCUUCUAGAAUUGAAUUAUAGUUUUUUUUAUCUUAUUUUUUUUGUUUAAAGAUUUAAUAACGUAGAAAAUAUUCUCUAAAAUUAUAUAUAGAGAUUUUUAGUACCAAACGCCUCGUUUACGUGAAGCUCACGCCUAGCGCUUUGCGCCUUGGUUUUUAGGGCUGCAGCCAUGGAGAAUUAUUAUUUUGAUAAAUAUUAUUUGUCAUCAUUUAAUAUUAAUUUAUCAAUGAAUUUUUGAAAAUGACAAAAACUCACAGAUUUAACCACUUUGGUGGCAGCUCAGAGCGUUUCUAAUCGAGUGUUAUUUAGUCAAAAAUGAUUUUUUGUUCUAGCCUUUUAGGGGCUUUUGUUGGAGUGUACUUGAAAGUCUGCAAGUGUGGGUGUGGGGAUUGAUUGCUGGAAGUGGGCUUUCGAUACAUCAGGUAUGUUCACUGUUCGAAGUUUCAGGAAUCAUCUGCAUCAGGCUAGGUUCUUGGACCUGGGAACGGGUUUUGUUGUAACAACUUGACGCCUAUUAAGGUUAAUUUCCUGGACUGGAGAGUGUCACUAAAUAGGGUCUCAACGAACCUGGAGGAUGUUUUGUCCAUGGUAUGUCCUUUGAUUCGUGCCAGCUGUACCGGAGACAGUGGAUUAUCAAAUUUAAUGAUAAUGUUCUGGGAGACUUCAAUGGUGAAGCUGUGAUAGGCCAGUUUCCCUUGUUAUGAUUGGGGGAGAAAGAGUUUGUUUACGAAUGCUGCAUAACUUCUACGGCUUCACCUGCAUCGAUAGAGGGUUCUUACAUGUUUAUCCCGGGCAGGCGUGUCGUAAUAUGCUCAUCAUAUCUUUUUUUAGCAUUUGUAUUAGAUAAAUUUGUAAAUUGUGUGUAAUCUGGCGGAUCCACAACGAAGCCCCUUUGAGGUUGAAAUUGCUAGAUUUCCUUUGGUUUUGCCAGAGUACAUCUUCUGAUGCAACUAUUCUGUUAUCCAUGGUCACUAUCUUGGCUUAAAGCCGUUUGUUUGA